ACUUUCAGCAACGGAUCUCUUGGCUCUCGCAUCGAUGAAGAACGCAACGCAUUGCGAUGAGUUAUGUGAAGUGCAUAUUUUCUUUGAAUCAUAUCAUCUUUGAACGCACCUUGCCCUCCUUGCCAUUCCGAGGAGCAUGCCUGUUUGAGUGUCA
rnacentral:rRNA from 1 species